AUUUUUCAAGUAGGAUUUCAGUAUUGACUUUUGUUAUAGAAAGCAAAGCACUGAAAAUGCUUAGAUGGAUGCAAGCAUCCCAUAAACAUAAA
ensembl:miRNA